rnacentral:rRNA from 1 species
GGAAUAUUGGACAAUGGAGGAAACUCUGAUCCAGCCAUGCCGCGUGAAGGAUGACGGCCCUACGGGUUGUAAACUUCUUUUCUCAGGGAAGAAACCUCUGGAUUUAUCCGGAGCUGACGGUACCUGAGGCAUAAGCACCGGCUCCCUCCGUGCCAGCAGCCGCGGUAAUACGGAGGGUGCAAGCGUUAUCCGGAUUCACUGGGUUUAAAGGGUGCGUAGGCGGAUUAAUAAGUCAGAGGUGAAAGCCCCGGGCUCAACCUGGGAAUUGCCUUUGAUACUGUUAGUCUUGAGUACAGCUGAGGUGGGCGGAAUGUGACGUGUAGCGGUGAAAUGCUUAGAUAUGUCACAGAACACCGAUUGCGAAGGCAGCUCACUAAACUGUUACUGACGCUGAGGCACGAAAGCGUGGGGAGCA